AUUGAACGCUGGCGGCAGGCCUAACACAUGCAAGUCGAGCGGAUCGGCGGACGGGUGAGUAAUUCCUAUGAAUCUGCCUGGUAGUGGUGGAUGACGUUCUGAAACGGUCGCUAACACCUCAUACUCUCAGCCGAGCCUAUGUCUGAUUGGCUAGUUGGUGGGGUAAAGGCCUACCAAGGCGACGAGCCGUACCUGGUCUGAGAGGAUGAUCAGUCACACUGGAACUGAGACACGGUCCAGACUCCUACGGGAGGCAGCAGUGGGGAAUAUUGGAAAAUGGGCGAAAGCCUGAUGCAGCCAUGCCGCGUGUGUGAAGAAGGCCUUCGGGUUGUAAAGCACUUUAAGUUGGGAGGCGUUACCAACAGAAUAAGCACCGGCUAACUUCGUGCCAGCAGCCGCGGUAAUUC
rnacentral:rRNA from 1 species